CAAUUGAACUGAACAUUAAGCAUGCCAGAUAGGAAUAAAGUUUUGGUCAGUGCUGGAGUAAUAUGGGGUAUUACUCUUUGCUGUAUCUUCAUUAAUCGCAAACUUCCAGGGUCCAUGGCAUUAUUAAAUUUUUUCCCUGGCAUUUUUGUUUGG